rnacentral:piRNA from 1 species
UAGAAGCUUACGCACAUAUGUUAGCAUUC